CAGUAACGGCGAGUGAAGCGGCAACAGCUCAAAUUUGAAAUCUGGCUCCUUCGGGGUCCGAAUUGUAAUUUGUAGAGAGUGCUUCGGGCGAGACCGCGGUCUAAGUCCAUUGGAACAUGGUGUCAUAGAGGGUGAGAAUCCCGUAUGCGACCGUGGCUCGAGCCCAUGUGAAGCCUCUUCGACGAGUCGAGUUGUUUGGGAAUGCAGCUCAAAAUGGGUGGUAAAUUUCAUCUAAAGCUAAAUACUGGCUGGAGACCGAUAGCGCACAAGUAGAGUGAUCGAAAGAUGAAAAGCACUUUGGAAAGAGAGUCAAACAGUACGUGAAAUUGUUGAAAGGGAAGCGCUUGCAACCAGACCUGCCCGUAGGCGAUCAGCCGCUGUUCUCAGCGGUGUACUCGCUCUGCGAUCAGGCCAGCAUCGGUUUCGGCGGUCGGAUAAAGGCCUUGGGAAUGUAGCUUCCCUUCGGGGGAGUCUUAUAGCCCUCGGUGCAAUGCGGCCAGCUGGGACCGAGGACCGCGCUUCGGCUAGGAUGCUGGCGUAAUGGUUGUAAGCGACCCGUCUUGAAACACGGACCAAGGAGUCUAACAUCUAUGCGAGUGUUUGGGUGUCAAACUCAUACGCGGAAUGAAAGUGAACGGAGGUGAGAACCCUUAAGGGCGCAUCAUCGACCGAUCCAGAUGUCUUCGGAUGGAUUUGAGUAUGAGCAUAGCUGUUGGGACCCGAAAGAUGGUGAACUAUGCCUGAAUAGGGUGAAGCCAGAGGAAACUCUGGUGAAGGCUCGCAGCGGUUCUGACGUGCAAAUCGAUCGUCAAAUUUGGGUAUAGGGGCGAAAGACUAAUC
rnacentral:rRNA from 1 species